rnacentral:rRNA from 1 species
GGUUAAGCGACUAAGCGUACACGGUGGAUGCCCUGGCAGUCAGAGGCGAUGAAGGACGUGCUAAUCUGCGAAAAGCGCCGGCGAGGUGAUAUGAACCCUUGACCCGGCGAUGUCCGAAUGGGGAAACCCAGUGCAAUCCGUUGCACUAUCGUUAACUGAAUACAUAGGUUAACGAGGCGAACCGGGGGAACUGAAACAUCUAAGUACCCCGAGGAAAAGAAAUCAACCGAGAUUCCCCCAGUAGCGGCGAGCGAACGGGGAGCAGCCCGGAGUCUGAAUCAGCUUGUGUGUUAGUGGAACGGUCUGGAAAGUCCGACGGUACAGGGUGAUAGUCCCGUACACGAAAAUGCACAUGCUGUGAACUCGAAGAGUAGGGCGGGACACGUGGUAUCCUGUCUGAAUAUGGGGGGACCAUCCUCCAAGGCUAAAUACUCCUGACUGACCGAUAGUGAACCAGUACCGUGAGGGAAAGGCGAAAAGAACCCCGGCGAGGGGAGUGAAAAAGAACCUGAAACCGUGUACGUACAAGCAGUGGGAGCCUCUUUAUGGGGUGACUGCGUACCUUUUGUAUAAUGGGUCAGCGACUUAUAUUCUGUAGCAAGGUUAACCGUAUAGGGGAGCCGAAGGGAAACCGAGUCUUAACUGGGCGUUAAGUUGCAGGGUAUAGACCCGAAACCCGGUGAUCUAGCCAUGGGCAGGUUGAAGGUUGGGUAACACUAACUGGAGGACCGAACCGACUAAUGUUGAAAAAUUAGCGGAUGACCUGUGGCUGGGGGUGAAAGGCCAAUCAAACCGGGAGAUAGCUGGUUCUCCCCGAAAGCUAUUUAGGUAGCGCCUCGUGAAUUCAUCUUCGGGGGUAGAGCACUGUUUCGGCUAGGGGGCCAUCCCGGCUUACCAACCCGAUGCAAACUACGAAUACCGAAGAAUGUUAUCACGGGAGACACACGGCGGGUGCUAACGUCCGUCGUGAAGAGGGAAACAACCCAGACCGCCAGCUAAGGUCCCAAAGUCAUGGUUAAGUGGGAAACGAUGUGGGAAGGCACAGACAGCCAGGAUGUUGGCUUAGAAGCAGCCAUCAUUUAAAGAAAGCGUAAUAGCUCACUGGUCGAGUCGGCCUGCGCGGAAGAUGUAACGGGGCUAAACCAUGCACCGAAGCUGCGGCAGCGACACUAUGUGUUGUUGGGUAGGGGAGCGUUCUGUAAGCCGUUGAAGGUGUGCUGUGAGGCAUGCUGGAGGUAUCAGAAGUGCGAAUGCUGACAUAAGUAACGAUAAAGCGGGUGAAAAGCCCGCUCGCCGGAAGACCAAGGGUUCCUGUCCAACGUUAAUCGGGGCAGGGUGAGUCGACCCCUAAGGCGAGGCCGAAAGGCGUAGUCGAUGGGAAACAGGUUAAUAUUCCUGUACUUGGUGUUACUGCGAAGGGGGGACGGAGAAGGCUAUGUCAGCCGGGCGACGGUUGUCCCGGUUUAAGCAUGUAGGCGGAGGUUCCAGGUAAAUCCGGUACCUUUUAACGCUGAGGUGUGAUGACGAGGCACUACGGUGCUGAAGUGAUAAAUGCCCUGCUUCCAGGAAAAGCCUCUAAGCAUCAGGUAACACGAAAUCGUACCCCAAACCGACACAGGUGGUCAGGUAGAGAAUACCAAGGCGCUUGAGAGAACUCGGGUGAAGGAACUAGGCAAAAUGGUGCCGUAACUUCGGGAGAAGGCACGCUGAUGUGUAGGUGAAGCCCCUGCGGGCGGAGCUGAAAUCAGUCGAAGAUACCAGCUGGCUGCAACUGUUUAUUAAAAACACAGCACUGUGCAAACACGAAAGUGGACGUAUACGGUGUGACGCCUGCCCGGUGCCGGAAGGUUAAUUGAUGGGGUUAGCGGCAACGCGAAGCUCUUGAUCGAAGCCCCGGUAAACGGCGGCCGUAACUAUAACGGUCCUAAGGUAGCGAAAUUCCUUGUCGGGUAAGUUCCGACCUGCACGAAUGGCGUAAUGAUGGCCAGGCUGUCUCCACCCGAGACUCAGUGAAAUUGAACUCGCUGUGAAGAUGCAGUGUACCCGCGGCAAGACGGAAAGACCCCGUGAACCUUUACUAUAGCUUGACACUGAACACUGGUCCUUGAUGUGUAGGAUAGGUGGGAGGCUUUGAAGCGUGGACGCCAGUCUGCGUGGAGCCAACCUUGAAAUACCACCCUUUAAUGGCUGGUGUUCUAACGUGGACCCGUAAUCCGGGUUGCGGACAGUGUCUGGUGGGUAGUUUGACUGGGGCGGUCUCCUCCCAAAGAGUAACGGAGGAGCACGAAGGUUGGCUAAUCCUGGUCGGACAUCAGGAGGUUAGUGCAAUGGCAUAAGCCAGCUUGACUGCGAGCGUGACGGCGCGAGCAGGUGCGAAAGCAGGUCAUAGUGAUCCGGUGGUUCUGAAUGGAAGGGCCAUCGCUCAACGGAUAAAAGGUACUCCGGGGAUAACAGGCUGAUACCGCCCAAGAGUUCAUAUCGACGGCGGUGUUUGGCACCUCGAUGUCGGCUCAUCACAUCCUGGGGCUGAAGUAGGUCCCAAGGGUAUGGCUGUUCGCCAUUUAAAGUGGUACGCGAGCUGGGUUUAGAACGUCGUGAGACAGUUCGGUCCCUAUCUGCCGUGGGCGCUGGAGAAUUGAGGGGGGCUGCUCCUAGUACGAGAGGACCGGAGUGGACGCAUCACUGGUGUUCGGGUUGUCAUGCCAAUGGCACUGCCCGGUAGCUAAAUGCGGAAGAGAUAAGUGCUGAAAGCAUCUAAGCACGAAACUUGCCCCGAGAUGAGUUCUCCCUGAGACCUUGAGUCUCCUGAAGGAACGUUAAAGACGAUGACGUUGAUAGGUCGGGUGUGUAAGCGCAGCGAUGCGUUGAGCUAACCGAUACUAAUGAACCGUGAGGCUUAACCUU